GAAAUGCGAUAAGUAAUGUGAAUUGCAGAAUUCAGUGAAUCAUCGAAUCUUUGAACGCACCUUGCGCUCCUUGGUAUUCCUUGGAGCAUGCCUGUUUGAGUAUCAUGAAAUCUUCAAAGUAAAUCUUUUGUUAGCUCAAUUGGUUUCUACUUUGGUAUUGGAGGUCUUUGCAGCUUCACACCUGCUCCUCUUUGUUCAUUAGCUGGAUCUCAGUGUUAUGCUUGGUUCCACUCGGCGUGAUAAGUUAUCUAUCGCUGAGGACACUGUAAAAGGUGGCCAAGGUAAAUGCAGAUGAACCGCUUCUAAUAGUCCAUUGACUUGGACAAUACUUUUAUGAUCUGAUCUCAAAUCAGGUAGGACUACCCGCUGAACUUAAGC
rnacentral:misc_RNA from 1 species